GCUUACGGCCAUACCACCCUGUCUGCGCUAGAUCUUGUCUGAUCUCGGAAGCUAAGCAGGGUUGGGCCUGGUUAGUACUUGAAUGGGAGACUGCCUGGGACUAGCAGGUGCUGUAUGGG
rnacentral:rRNA from 1 species